AUUAUUGAGAGCGCUAUAAACGACUCUAUUAAUAUGUGAUAUCGCUUUCCUUAGCAUCUUAAUUAUCUAUAUUGAUGGCGGAGUAAGCUGAACAAAACAACAAACAAUAACAACACCCAUUUGAGAUUAGAGUUAAGAAGACGUGUGAAUAUAAUAUUCUAUUGACAAAAACGAUCAGAGACGCUUGAUCGAGAACACUCUAAAUCGAAUGUUCGAACCGGAGGAAACAAAUUACGGCGACCUGUGACAUUGUAUUAGUAGUAUAUUUAUUCGGGUAUACGCGAGCGCGCGUAGUAUACCCAUAGAACGAUCAUAUUUUAUUAAUAGCCAGAUAAAUGUAAUCAAUGGUCGAUUUCGAAUAUCGACGAACCUCUUGGGUCAUAUUCUUUCUUCUGUGAGAGAAUCGGCGAUCGAAGAAUGCGAUUUACUUUUUAACAAAUUAACGACAGUCCCUGCUUAUUAUAAUAGUUGGUUGAGUGAGUACUUAUCUGUCUGCUGUGUGUGUGUCUGUCUGCUGUGUGUGUGUGUGUGUGUGUGUGUGUGUGACUGUGUGUCUGUGUGUGUGUGUGUGUUUGUGUUUGUGUUUGUGAGAAUGAGCAUUGAAUGGGACAGCGUUUUCUAUCGUACUCUACGAGGUUUUCGUCGAGAUAAAUAGAAAAAAGAAAAAGAGAGAGAGAGAGAGAGAGAGAGAGAGAGAGAGAGAGAGAGAGAGAGAGAAGAAAAAUAUAUAAGUAAUUCGAUUUACAUAUAAAACGUGCAAUGAUCGAAAUAUACUGGCAGAGUUUUGUGGCAGCUUAAAGUUCAUAGGAAACUAAUAAUAAUUAUAAAAGCUUCGAUUGUUAAAGAUAUUCGACAGAAACUUCGUAUAGAACGAACUUUGCGUUAUAGACACACACUCGAUUUUCUUUCGUGUCCGUAACAACGCGCGGUGUGCUUCAUUGUUGUCGUCGAUAUGGGAACACCGAGUAAACAGUAUUUUUUAGUUGGUUCUCUGAUAUUGACACUGCGUUCCUAAAUUGUUGUUUCUUUAUCCUUUUUAACGCGUCGUUGAACCGUACACGAAAAUUAAUGUCGAUACACGUAAUGCAAGUUUGAAUCUAAUGCGAACGACGUUACCACUUUUAUUAGUUUAACUUUGUUCUUCCUCUUCUUCUUCUUCUUCUUCUUCUUCUUCUUCUUCUUUUUUUUUCUUUUUUUAUCAUCAACACCUUUUAAUUCAUAAAUUGUCUAUAAUAUUAUAUAUAUAUAUAUAUGUAUACAUAUAUAUAUAUGUAUAUAUAUAAUCCAAUUAAUAUAUGAUAUAUGUAUAUAUUAUAAAAAAAAACGUUCUAGUUUAUAAAUAUAGAACUAUUGAUGAGCUCUAUACGUUUUUGUUAUAUAUAAAUUAGAGCACAAUUUUUAGGUGCAUAAAAACGCAUUUAUAAGUUGGGUAGUGCAAUUUGAAGAUAAUCUAUCGGCUUUGAUUUUAUAGAAUGAAAGGAAGAAAAAUUUGUGGAGCCCAUGUUGGAUCAUUGGACGAAUUUUUGAUAUCGUGCAAUAAUACCGUUCAGCAAUAGUUCCCCCUUCCCUCCACGCACCACCGUUUAUUAUUUAUCUGGCAUCAAUCAAUUUACACUUAAAUCGUUAUUAAUUUUUUGUAAAAAAUGUGAAAAAAAAAAGGACGCAAUUUUUCUUUUCUUUUUAC